AUGUGAGGAUCACAGAUAGAUGUAAGG
rnacentral:piRNA from 1 species